rnacentral:rRNA from 1 species
AUUGAACGCUGGCGGCAGGCCUAACACAUGCAAGUCGAGCGGAUGAAGGGAGCUUGCUCCUGGAUUCAGCGGCGGACGGGUGAGUAAUGCCUAGGAAUCUGCCUGGUAGUGGGGGAUAACGUCCGGAAACGGGCGCUAAUACCGCAUACGUCCUGAGGGAGAAGGUGGGGGAUCUUCGGACCUCACGCUAUCAGAUGAGCCUAGGUCGGAUUAGCUAGUUGGUGGGGUAAAGGCCUACCGAGGCGACGAUCCGUAACUGGUCUGAGAGGAUGAUCAGUCACACUGGAACUGAGACACGGUCCAGACUCCUACGGGAGGCAGCAGUGGGGAAUAUUGGACAAUGGGCGAAAGCCUGAUCCAGCCAUGCCGCGUGUGUGAAGAAGGUCUUCGGAUUGUAAAGCACUUUAAGUUGGGAGGAAGGGCAGUAAGUUAAUACCUUGCUGUUUUGACGUUACCAACAGAAUAAGCACCGGCUAACUUCGUG